AUACUCUGAUUUCUCUUCAAACCACGAUUAAAUCUUUCGCGUUUUAUUAAAGAUUUCCGUUUAGAGGAACAUUUACCGAGUCUAUAGACAUGUUUUUAUAUAUGUGAUGUCUUUUGG